ensembl:snRNA U6 U6 spliceosomal RNA
GUGCUUGCUUCAGCAGCACAUAUAGUAAAAUUGGAACCAUACAGAAAAGAUUAGCAUGGCCCCUGCAUAAGGAUGACACGCAAAUUUGUGAAGUGUUCCAUAUUUUU